rnacentral:lncRNA from 1 species
GUUUUGUUAUAAGUUCCGCUCAAAUGGCUUGACUCUGGGAGACUGAGUAUCGCGCACACGUGAAACUCCCUGGCAGGGAGCCUCCAUAUCUUUGAAUGCAGCUGCCUGUGAAUGCGCCUCUUUUAUUGCCAUGCUCAGAUUUGCAGUGCUUUUAAGAAUAAUUUUUCCAGAUUCUUUUUUUAAAUCAUAACCACCAAGAAGAGAGACUUCAGUUGGCAUUUUAAUACGCUUGCUCCAAUUGCAACCCAGAUUAAUUUGUCGUACUUGGGAGCUCCAGCUCAGCCAAAGUUAUAAAGAAAGGAAUCUUUGCUGUCGUGCAUGUACAUAGGCUUUGCCUCUGCUCUUCUUGAGCCUCCGUAAUGCUCCUUGGCUUAGGACGCCCGUAAUGUUCCUUGGCUUAUGCACAACAUUCGCUGUUUCCCCGUGGCUGCGGCUGUGCGCAGCUCUUGAGGCCUGGCAGCCAAGAGGUCUCAGCUAGUCCAGCUGUGGCUAAUUUAAGAAGUCACAGGUGCAGCAAUAACCAGCCAGCAGGAAGAAUGGAAGCAACGUGGAUACCCUUCUAUGCAAAAGACGUGAAGCUGUUCCUGUGGUUCGCACCAGGGGUGGAGGACAGAUGAUUGGGGGCAGCUAUCCAAGCAAAGCCUCAGGUGCUGAAGCCAGAGUCCGGCCGUACUGUGGAUUUUGGGCAACCAGGAUGCAUUUUAAUGCCUUCUGAUGGGCAUUCAAGCUGCUUACAUCUCUUCUGGCACAUUGCUUUGCAAGCACAAGACUCUGGUUGCGGAAACAAUGCAAUAUAUAUUGAAAAGAAUGCUACAUUCUAACUUAGCAUUGUUGGACUUGUAGGCAGCUUGGGUUUUGAACCUUGUUCCUUAUUCCCGUCAGCUGAUCAGAACUGCAGGAUAUAUAUAUAUAUAUAUAUAUAUCUAUAUAUCUAUAUAUCUAUAUAUCUCAAUCAUUGUUUCCGAAACCUGGGCCUCCGGCUGUUUUUGGACUACAACUCCCAUCAUCCCUAGCUAGCAAGACCAGUGGUCAGGGAUGAUGGGAACCGUAGUCCAAAAACGGCUGGAGACUCAAGUUUGGGAAACAUUGAUAUAAAAUGAUGAGACAGAAUCAUCAUCAUGAGAGUGAGACUAAUCAACUGAGUCAAGAAGCAAGGUGACCUAAAGGUGACCUAACAUGCACUCUCUCCUAUAUAACUUGUUGGAUGUUCUUGGCUUUCUAGACUGGGCAGGUGUUAGACAAGGACAUAACUCAAAACAGCUGUUUUCAAACUACAUUCUUAGCACUUCUGACAAAUCCUAAGGUUUCCAUUCAGGCCCCCUCAAUAUUACAAGUUGUCCAGCACUAUUGAGCUUUCCACUAUAAUGCAUAGUUUCAAGGGAGUGAUUUCUAGGUAAAGCACACAACUUCUCAAGAGGUCAUGGAAAAGGCUCAGAGGAUUGGUUCCUGCCCUGCAUUAAUAGAAUGUGCAAUGUAGAAAACUUCACAUGGCAGAAAUGUCCCUGUGGAAAUGUAGAUAGUUUGAAGGUCACUGACAGAACCAUUCUGCUGUUGUCUAGGGCCUCUUGCAAGGUCUUUUUCUACUUAGAGGGUUCCAUCUAUGGCAUUUCUAGAUAGAGCAAGAAAAAAACUGCUGCUGGUAGACAGUAGAUGGACCCAUGUUCAGCUUGGACCACCUCUGCCCCACAACCUUCGUGACACUUUGAUGCAGAAGCCACUGUGAACUCCAGAUUGCUAAGAGUGGAACAUCAUUAGCUUCUUCUCCUGUGAUCUUCUCAGGCAAGUAUGCCCCAAUUUAGUUGGAUGCGCUAAGGAAGUCUACAGCUUUCUCCAUGUAGGAGGAUCCCAGCAGACCUAAAACCUGGUAGGUAAAAAGCAGAUAACGUAUAUUGCCUUAAGUUAUGUUUCCUGGAAGGGUUAAGCCUAGUAUAUUUAAAUCUCUGUCUUUCCAAGUGCAUCCCUUGAAUGCCAAAAUGCAUCCCUAUGUGUAGAAGGACCAGCCCCCCCCCCCAGA